UCACUUUCAUUAAUAACAGAGUACACAUUAGUAUAUGCCAAGAAGGAACCUCUGAAAAACAGAUAUAAUUAUUUGGAAAUCAAAGAAGAAUUGAGGAACAAUCUUUGACACCCUUUAAAGCAUUUUUCUCCCAUAUACAAUUUCAUACAAAUGACUAUGAGGGGUAUUUAGGAAACUAGUUAUUUAGGAUAUUUAGGAAACUAGUUUAUUUUCCUAAGCCUACUAAUUAUCAACACUUUGGACUGAUCUUUAACUAAGUGCUUCCCAAUGUCCAAAAUAUUCAAGUAAUAACUUUACAUCACGACAGAAAAACUCUCCAGGAUAAAGGGACAUUUUCUUUCCAUUUGAAAGCCAGAAAAAAAAGUACACUAAAGCAAUAAACUUUCAACUCUUGAAGUAAACUUGGCAGUUGCAGUGGCCUUUGAUCAUAGAACUAACCAUUAUGGUCAAACUGGUCUGAAUUUCUUCUGAUAAGACAGUGUCUUAAAGGACAUUCUGGCAGUUUGUCAAACUGUAAAGUAUUAACAAAUAAAGGCAGUAUUUCAUCUUGCCCAAUCAAGGACAGAGGGGCUAUAUUAGCAAGUCUAUUUAACCAAUCAAAAGCCAUGAAGUCAUAAACUACUGUGCGCUGCAGACCAUAACGUCUCAGUCAAUCGUGAGACAGUGAAGCCAAGAAGGAACGCUCUGCCAGGACAUUUAGGGUUGGGCUCAAGACAGCAAGCGGAAUGCUCUUCACCUUCUGUCAGCCACGCAGAAAACCCAGAGAGGAAAGUCAAAGACUCAAAAGGGAUGGAAAGAUGCAGAUUUCUGCUACAAUCUAGGAACUUAUCUUACCAGGAAACUUUAUCUUACCAGGAAAAACUAUACAACUCUCUUAACUUGAAAUAACUUUUAUAUAAGGCUUCUCUGAGUUGGCUUUCAUCUUACCAAAAAAUGUAAUGGGCCGGGAUUGGUGGUGCAGGCCCGCAACCCCAGCUACUCAGGAAGCUGAUGCAGGAAGAUGGCAAGGUUGAGACCAGCCUAUGCAACUCAGCAAGACUCUACAUCAAAAUAAAAACAUAUAAAGGGCUGGGGAUACAGCUCAGUGCAAAGGCCCUGGGUCAGUCCCCUCUACUGAGGGUGGGAGUGGAGUGGUGAGCUGCAUUUUCUGAGUCUCAGCCGACUUCCCAGCAGGAAUUCCAGUCUGAUGAAGAAUCAGCAACAGGAAGCCCUCAC